rnacentral:rRNA from 1 species
UACGGAGGGUGCAAGCGUUAUCCGGAUUCACUGGGUUUAAAGGGUGCGUAGGUGGGCAGGUAAGUCAGUGGUGAAAUCUCUGGGCUUAACCCGGAAACUGCCGUUGAUACUAUCUGUCUUGAAUAUAGUGGAGGUGAGCGGAAUAUGUCAUGUAGCGGUGAAAUGCUUAGAUAUGACAUAGAACAUCGAUUGCGAAGGCAGCCCGCUACACUAUGAUUGACACUGAGGCACGAAAGCGUGGGGAUCAAACAGG